AUUGAACGCUGGCGGCAUGCUUUACACAUGCAAGUCGAACGGUAACAGGGUGCUUGCACCGCUGACGAGUGGCGAACGGGUGAGUAAUGCGUCGGAACGUGCCGAGUAGUGGGGGAUAACGCAGCGAAAGUUGUGCUAAUACCGCAUACGUACUGAGGUAGAAAGUGGGGGACCUUCGGGCCUCACGCUAUUCGAGCGGCCGACGUCUGAUUAGCUAGUAGGUGAGGUAAAGGCUCACCUAGGCGACGAUCAGUAGCGGGUCUGAGAGGAGGAUCCGCCACACUGGGACUGAGACACGGCCCAGACUCCUACGGGAGGCAGCAGUGGGGAAUUUUGGACAAUGGGCGAAAGCCUGAUCCAGCCAUGCCGCGUGUCUGAAGAAGGCCUUCGGGUUGUAAAGGACUUUUGUCGGGGAGGAAAUCCCCAGCGUUAAUACCGCUGGGGGAUGACAGUACCUGAAGAAUAAGCACCGGCUAACUACGUGCCAGCAGCCGCGGUAAUAC
rnacentral:rRNA from 1 species